rnacentral:rRNA from 1 species
ACGAUAUAGUGGCAGACGGGUGAGUAACGCGUGGGAACGUACCUUUCACUACGGAAUAGCUCUGGGAAACUGGUGGUAAUACCGUAUACGCCCUCCGGGGGAAAGAUUUAUCGGUGAAAGAUCGGCCCGCGUUGGAUUAGCUAGUUGGUGAGGUAAUGGCUCACAAAGGCGACGAUCCAUAGCUGGUCUGAGAGGAUGAUCAGCCACACUGGGACUGAGACACGGCCCAGACUCCUACGGGAGGCAGCAGUGGGGAAUCUUGCACAAUGGGCGAAAGCCUGAUGCAGCCAUGCCGCGUGAAUGAUGAAGGCCUUAGGGUUGUAAAAUUCUUUCGUCAGGGAUGAUAAUGACCGUACCUGAAGAAGAAGCCCCGGCUAACUUCGUGCCAGCAGCCGCGGUAAUACGAAGGGGGCUAGCGUUGUUCGGAAUUACUGGGCGUAAAGCGCACGUAGGCGGACUUUUAAGUCAGGUGUGAAAUCCCGAGGCUCAACCUCGGAACUGCAUUUGAAACUGGGAGUCUGGAGAUCAGGAGAGGUUAGCGGAAUACCGAGUGUAGAGGUGAAAUUCGUAGAUAUUCGGUGGAACACCAGUGGCGAAGGCGGCUAACUGGACUGAUACUGACGCUGAGGUGCGAAAGUGUGGGGAGCAAACAGGAUUAGAUACCCUGGUAGUCCACACCGUAAACGAUGAGAGCUAGUUGUUGGC